UGCCUGUACCUGACGACACAGAGUGUUUUGCCAUACACAUUCACAUUUACAUGAAGACAUUGAGUGUUAUCUCCUAUACAUACCUGCUUAUUGUGUUACUCAUUAAAGAACCUCUGCAUUGGGAUUUCCUGACUUUUGUGGUUCCUGACAAUACUUAAAGAGCAUAAUAGAAAGUAUUUUAGGAUGAAAACAGUAUUUUUCAAUGUGUGGCAGCGUCCUGUAUCAUAACUAAAUCUCUGCCGCUUAUAAAAACUCAAACCGUGUGAAAAUCCGGUAAAAAUUUGACAAGUAGGCACUUACUUUGCCCUGAGAGAGCUUCUGGGCAGCUUCUAGCCUGCAAACUCUCUUUUGCCUUCACAAAAUGAGUAGGUUGAUCAUUUUAUUACUGUUCCUAUGGCUCCUGAAGCAGUCUUCGUAGCUGAUGUGGGCUUAAGGUUUCUGCUGGACAUUUGUUAUUAAAUUUAAGAAAGAGUCUUGUACAUACUGUUAGCAUACCAUACAGCAGAUGCCAACAUUCUCUUUAGGUUUUGAAAGAAGCAAUCAAAUCUUCUUUAGAUCUUAUAGUCUGUGGGUUUCUUGCUUGGAAUUUUUGUUUACCCUUCCCAAAGCGAGUAGAUUGAUCCUUUUAUCACUGUUCCUAUGCAUACUGAAGCAGUCUUCUUUUCUUAAGUGGGCUUAAGUCUUCUGCUGAAGGGGCGGCAGUGGCUCAGUGGUUCAUGUAGGUUGUCUACAAACCGGAAGGUUGGUGGUUCAAUCCCCGGCUCCACCUGACCAAGUGUCGAAGUGUCCUUGAGCAAGACACCUAACCCCAGCUGCUCCCGACGAGCUGGCUGGCGCCUUGCAUGGCUGACACCGCCGUCGGUGUAUGAAUGUGCGCGUGAAUGGGUGAAUGUGAGGCUAAUUGCUUUGGAUGGCCAUAGGUCUGUUAAAGCGCUAUAUAAAUGCAGUCCAUUUACAUAUGUUAUGAAAUUUAAGAAAGAGUCCCAAAACACUUAGUGCUCGUAUGUGUCAACUUGUGUGGGUGUGACUUUGACUGUACAAGCCACCCAACAGUUUGAUCGUAUACAGCACUACACAGGACCAGUUUUUGGCUGCCCAGUUUCAGCACAAUCUCCGUAGUUAGGGGUUAGAGCACUAGCUCUCCAAUUGGGGAGACCUAGGAUCGAAUCCCUCGAGGUACAAUGACCUUCUCCCUUGACAAGUAUGCACUUACUUUGCACUGGUAGAGUUUCUGGGCAGCUUCUAGCCUGCAAAAUAUAUUUUCCCUUCACAAAAUGAGUAGGUUGAUAAUUUUAUUACUGUUCCCAUGGAUCCUGAAGCAGUCUUCAUAGCUGAUAUGGGCUUAAAGAGCAACUAUUAUGAGAUACACAUUUUUAAACAUCCUUUUGUGUGUAAAUGUGUAUUAGUACAUGCUAACGAUAUUCAAAAAGUACAUACCUCAAAGAAAACGAUGACGCGAGUUAUCGUCUCUAACGUUCGAGGACUACAAAAAACACUCGGAUUGUAGGCAACAGUUUACUUCCUGGGAUUAGGGACGUAAAUAAGAUCAACAUUAUCAUAGUUCAGCCCUCUCUGCUUUGCUUGGGUACGCCCUCAAAGACGGGGGUGGGGAGCGCCGAAUCAGAAGAGAGCUAAAAUGGCGGAGGUUGGGAGUCCCUGCUUUGACUCUGUUUGCAAACUCUUGUUUCAUCGUUUAAGCGAUUAAAUCUCUCGAGUAGACGCUGUCUCUUUAGAUGCGAGGGCAAAAUAGCACUUUAUGGACUUACACAGAGGACAUCAUGUUUAAUACGGUUCCGGAAAAAUCCAGUCAGAAGUUGUUCACGGAGUUUUCACAAUAACUGCUUCUCAUGAACCGAAGCUGGAUUUGCGCGACGUCUCCUCCUGAAAGUUGGAUUACCGUGCACUUCUGGAUCACAGGCUAUUCGCAGCUGGACACAUCCUUCUACACUGUAUGCAAACAUGCAACAUCAUUACACACAGUACAAGGAGUCAGACUGGCAUAUGAGGAGCAAAGGAACCCAGACAGUAGCAUCGUUUCACAAUGUUUCCAUCACCAUCAUCAGUGGAUGCCUUUGCCGUCCGUAGCCUGAGAUUUCAGAUUUGCAGCAAAAAAAUUUAAUUUUCUCAUUUAUUGGAAUGCUGUGCAGGUUGUACCUUGCAGCCAUCCAUUACAAUGUCACCAAGCCGUAAAAAAAGCAGGAGAGGGAAAGUACAAGGCUAUUUUCCCAAAACACACAAGUGACAUACUUUAUGUGGAUGAUGUGAUCAGUCUUGUGUUUGAUGAGGUAUUUGAAGAUAAGCUGAAGGAAACCCCGAUUCCAAUGGACCUGGCAUCACAGUUUGAGAGACCUUCAAAGAAGGACGUGAUUGCAUGCCAUCUUCAGUGCAGGAGUCGUCGAAAGCCAAAAUUGUGACCGAUCUGAUCAGGAAGCUCCAAGCAUAUUUGGAGAACAACACACGACAGGAUGAUAGCCUUAUAGUGUCGUCUUAAAUAGCACCAGCUGACAAAGCUUUGAUAUGCCAUUUAUCUGAAUAGAUAGCUGUAAGAAAUGAAUUGAACAUUUUUUGA